AGGGCUGAACAUUAAUUCACGCUUGCUGGAAUUGGCGUUGAGGGUGAUCCGAUGAUCGGUCAUUGGCGCUGGCGUUACUGGCCCCUGAAAACCAAGUUGUUAUUCCUGACGCUGUUCACCAGCACCCUGGGUAUUGUCCUGGUGUGUGCCAGCCUGAUUGUUGUUGAGAACCGUAACUAUCGGGCGCAGCUUGAAUCCGAGCU
rnacentral:misc_RNA from 1 species